rnacentral:rRNA from 1 species
AUUGAACGCUGGCGGCAUGCUUUACACAUGCAGGUCGAGCGGCAGCGCGGGGGCAACCCUGGCGGCGAGCGGCGAACGGGUGAGUAAUGCAUCGGAACGUAUCCUCGAGUGGGGGAUAACCCAGCGAAAGUUGGGCUAAUACCGCAUGAGCUCUGAGGAGGAAAGCGGGGGACCUGCGAGGGCCUCGCGCUGGAGGAGCGGCCGAUGUCCGAUUAGCUAGUUGGUGGGGUAAAGGCUUACCAAGGCGACGAUCGGUAGCUGGUCUGAGAGGAUGAUCAGCCACACUGGGACUGAGACACGGCCCAGACUCCUACGGGAGGCAGCAGUGGGGAAUUUUGGACAAUGAGGGCAACCCUGAUCCAGCCAUGCCGCGUGAGUGAAGAAGGCCUUCGGGUUGUAAAGCUCUUUCGGACGGAACGAAAUGGGCGGGACUAAUACUCCUGUCUGAUGACGGUACCGUAAGAAGAAGCACCGGCUAACUACGUG